AACGGGGGGGGCGGGUGUUACUCGACAUGACUGGGCGUAAAGGGCAACUAGGCGGCUCCGCCGGUGGGGGGUUAAAGGCCGGCCUGGCCGGUAUGACCCCCCCCGACGGCCGAGCUGGAGUUCGGUAGGGGGUGGUGGUACCUCCGGUGUAGAGGUAAAAUUCGGCGAUACCGGAGGGACCAACGGCUGGCGAAGGCAACCACCUGGUCCGCAACUGACGCUGAAAGGCAAAAGCGUGGGGAGCAAACAGG
rnacentral:rRNA from 1 species